rnacentral:rRNA from 1 species
GGAAACAGUUGCUAAAACUGGAUAGGAAAUAAAAAGGCAUCUUUUUAUUUUUAAAAGACCUUUUUCGGAAGGUAUGCUUAAAGAGGGGCUUGCGGCACAUUAGUUAGUUGGUAGGGUAAAGGCCUACCAAGACUAUGAUGUGUAGCUGGACUGAGAGGUUGAACAGCCACAUUGGGACUGAGACACGGCCCAAACUCCUACGGGAGGCAGCAGUAGGGAAUUUUCGGCAAUGGAGGAAACUCUGACCGAGCAACGCCGCGUGAACGAUGAAGUAUUUCGGUAUGUAAAGUUCUUUUAUUGAAGAAGAAAAAAUAGUGGAAAAACUAUCUUGACGCUAUUCAAUGAAUAAGCCCCGGCAAACUAUGUGCCAGCAGCCGCGGUAAUACAUAGGGGGCAAGCGUUAUCCGGAAUUAUUGGGCGUAAAGGGUGCGUAGGCGGUUUAAUAAGUCUAUAGUUUAAUUUCAGUGCUUAACACUGUUCUGCUAUAGAAACUAUUAAACUGGAGUGAGAUAGAGGCAAGUGGAAUUCCAUGUGUAGCGGUAAAAUGCGUAAAUAUAUGGAGGAACACCAGAGGCGUAGGCGGCUUGCUGGGUCUUUACUGACGCUGAGGCACGAAAGCGUGGGGAGCAAACAGGAUUAGAUACCCUGGUAGUCCACGCCGUAAACGAUGAGUACUAAGUGUCGGGGUUACUCGGUACUGAAGUUAACACAUUAAGUACUCCGCCUGAGUAGUACGUACGCAAGUAUGAAACUUAAAGGAAUUGACGGGACUCCGCACAAGCGGUGGAUCAUGUUGUUUAAUUCGAAGAUACACGAAAAACCUUACCAGGUCUUGACAUACUCUGCAAAGCUAUAGCAAUAUAGUGGAGGUUAUCAGGGAUACAGGUGGUGCAUGGUUGUCGUCAGCUCGUGUCGUGAGAUGUUAGGUUAAGUCCUAAAACGAGCGCAACCCUUGUCACUAGUUGCCAGCAUGUUAUGAUGGGCACUUUAGUGAGACUGCCAAUGAAAAAUUGGAGGAAGGUGAGGAUCACGUCAAAUCAUCAUGCCCCUUAUGAUCUGGGCUACAAACGUGAUACAAUGGCUGUUACAAAGAGUAGCUGAAACGCAAGUUAAUAGCCAAUCUCAUAAAAACAGUCUCAGUUCGGAUUGAAGUCUGCAACUCGACUUCAUGAAGUUGGAAUCGCUAGUAAUCGCGAAUCAGCAUGUCGCGGUGAAUACGUUCUCGGGGUUUGUACACACCGCCC